rnacentral:lncRNA from 1 species
GUUCAUUACACAACACUAUUUAGAAAUGCAGAAAACCAACUGUGAAAUUUUAAAUGAGAAUACACUGUUUACCUGCUAAAUUCAAGAGAGGAAGAGAGGUCAGGGAGAAAGAAGGGACGAUGGUGAGGAGGAAAGAAAAAAAAAGAGACAGGAAAAGGUGAGAAGAAAGACAAUGCAAAGAAGUAGAAAGAGUGAGGAAAGAAAGUUAAAAGAACUAAGAGGUACAGGUGAUAAUGCUUUCCUGAGCUAAAGAUAAACAUCCCUUCCAGCCAAUAAUAUUUAUAAAAAUUUCUUCUCCAGCAUUCAGAAGGUGAAAGAAGAUCAUUACUCAGUAGGACCUCUUCAAAGGAUAUCUGAGUCCUGUAAGACUCAUUACCAUUCCCGUGUGGCCUCUCACCUUGCUGACUUGGCCUCUGCCAUCUCUUCUGCCUGGAACACCAUCAGUCUCCGCCAGCUGCACUUCUGUCACUUACCACAGCCCAGAUUCUACCUCUUCAAGAUGCUUACUCACGAAAUCCAGCUGGCAUGCUCUGAAGAAGCCCAAGAAGUCCUUGAAGAAACCCAUGUGGAGAGAAACAGCUGGUCCUGGUCUGCACUCCUGGCCAUGUGG